rnacentral:rRNA from 1 species
UACGGAGGGAGCUAGCGUUGUUCGGAAUUACUGGGCGUAAAGCGCACGUAGGCGGCUAUUCAAGUCAGGGGUGAAAUCCCGGAGCUUAACUCCGGAACUGCCUCUGAAACUAGGUAGCUAGAAUCUUGGAGAGGUCAGUGGAAUUCCGAGUGUAGAGGUGAAAUUCGUAGAUAUUCGGAAGAACACCAGUGGCGAAGGCGACUCACUGGACAGGUAUUGACGCUGAGGUGCGAAAGCGUGGGGAGCAAACAGG